UGUUUGAACUGCUAGCGCCUCAUCUCAUCUCUCUCCAAACAACUGACUGCUGUCAUCUUCCAUGGCUCUGUAAUAUUUUUGUGUGUGUGUUUGGGUGUGUGUUUAUCGCCCUCUGUCCGUGUGUGUGUGUGUGUUUGUGAGAGAGAGUGAUUCAGUUUCUCUUUCCCUGCGAUGCCACUGCUGCCUAAGGAGGCAGAACGAUUUGAUGGGCUAUCUCUACUAUAUUGGACUAUCAUGGGACCUCACGGCAUCAACCGGGCCAUCGAGAGACUGGAGUUCUGUGACUGCAAGAAAGGACUGGGGGUGAAAAUCAUAGGUGGCUACAGAGAUCAAACACGGGAGGAGUUUGGGAUCUUCAUCAAGCGGGUGUUACCGGGAGGUCUGGC